AAUUUGCGAAGUGAGGACACUAUCACAAGAUCCAAAUCAAUGUCCUUCCGGGAGAAUUUCUUAAAAUCUUGUUUUCUCUCGUUGUCUUCGGAAGAAGCCCGACAUUUCUUAUAGGAAAUGGAACUCUUCAUAAGGUUCAUCUCAAAGAUCUCUCUUUGCAUAAUGUGUGUGUGGACCUGCCUACAGAUACAUUGGGUGGAAGCCCUAGGAGCCUCAAGCAAGUCUGAAGAUUGGCCCUGAGAACCACUGUUCUCAUUAUCAGCAAGGAUUUUAUCCAGAGACCUCUAGGAAUACAUUCACUAAAAUGUGACUGUGGUCCUGUGGUUGUAUGAACUCUGGCUCUUCUCGUGAAUUACAUUUCACUGGAGUCAGGUGUUUUCUGUAAACAUCGUUAAACCACGAGACCAACUGCAUUGAACAUUUUUUGCACUACAUUGUUUUAUUUCUUGCUCGUCUUUUCCUUGCAGAGCUGGGGCUGGGGUGA
rnacentral:lncRNA from 1 species